AACCUACGGGAGGCAGCAGUGGGGGAUAUUGCACAAUGGGGGAAACCCUGAUGCAGCGACGCCGCGUGUGGGAAGACGGUCCUCUGGAUUGUAAACCACUGUCCCCAGGGACGAAGAUGACGGUACCUGGGGAGGAAGCUCCGGCUAACUACGUGCCAGCAGCCGCGGUAAUACGUAGGGAGCGGGCGUUGUCCGGAAUUACUGGGUGUAAAGGGAGCGCAGGCGGGACUGCGUGUUUGGCGUCAAAUCUA
rnacentral:rRNA from 1 species